rnacentral:rRNA from 1 species
GUCGAGGGGUAACAGGGAGCUUCGGUUCCGCUGACGACCGGCGCACGGGUGCGUAACGCGUAUGAAACCUGCCUUAUACUGGGGGAUAGCCCGAAGAAAUUCGGAUUAAUACCCCAUAAUAUAAUUGAUUGGCAUCAAUUAAUUAUUAAAACUCCGGUGGUAUAAGAUGGUCAUGCGUGACAUUAGCUAGUUGGUGAGGUAACGGCUCACCAAGGCGACGAUGUCUAGGGGUUCUGAGAGGAAGGUCCCCCACACUGGUACUGAGACACGGACCAGACUCCUACGGGAGGCAGCAGUGAGGAAUAUUGGUCAAUGGACGCAAGUCUGAACCAGCCAUGUCGCGUGCAGGAUGACUGCCCUAUGGGUUGUAAGCUGCUUUUAUAUGGGAAGAAUGUGACCUACGUGUAGGUUUUUGCCGGUACCAUACGAAUAAGCAUCGGCUAACUCCGUGCCAGCAGCCGCGGUAAUACGGAGGAUGCGAGCGUUAUCCGGAUUCAUUGGGUUUAAAGGGUGCGUAGGCGGAAGUGUAAGUCAGGGGUGAAAGUUUGCAGCUCAACUGUAAAAUUGCCUUUGAUACUGCAUUUCUUGAGUACAUUUGAGGUAGGCGGAAUGUGUUGUGUAGCGGUGAAAUGCUUAGAUAUAACACAGAACACCGAUUGCGAAGGCAGCUUACUAAACUGUAACUGACGCUGAUGCACGAAAGCGUGGGGAUCGAACAGGAUUAGAUACCCUGGUAGUCCACGCCGUAAACGAUGAUAACUAGUUGUUUGCAAUAGACCGUAAGCGACAAAGCGAAAGCAUUAAGUUAUCCACCUGGGGAGUACGUUGGCAACAAUGAAACUCAAAGGAAUUGACGGGGGCCCGCACAAGCGGAGGAGCAUGUGGUU